UACGUAGGGGGCAAGCGUUGUCCGGAUUUAUUGGGCGUAAAGAGCGUGUAGGCGGCCAGGUAGGUCAGCUGUGAAAACUCGAGGCUCAACCUCGAGACGCCGGUUGAAACCAUCUGGCUAGAGUCCGGAAGAGGAGAGUGGAAUUCCUGGUGUAGCGGUGAAAUGCGCAGAUAUCAGGAAGAUCACCCGUGGCUAAGGCGGCUCUCUAGUACGGUACUGACGCUGAGACGCGAAAGCGUGGGGAGCGAACAGG
rnacentral:rRNA from 1 species